UACAAAGUGUUAAAGAGGUCUCAACAGGGU
rnacentral:piRNA from 1 species